AUUGAACGCUGGCGGCAGGCCUAACACAUGCAAGUCGAACGCGUGGCGUACGGGUGAGUAAUGUCUUGGCCCCUGCCUGCUGGAGGGGGAUCCCUACUGGACACGGUAGCUAAUACCGCCUCCCCUCGGCUCUCCCCCGAUGGGACUAGCUAGUCGGUGGUGUAACGGCUCACCUAGGCGACGAUCCCUAGAUGGUCUGACAGGAUGAGCAGCCACACUGGAACUGAGACACGGUCCAGACGCCUACGGGAGGGAGCAGUGGGGAAUAUGGGACAAGGGGCGCAAGCCUGAUGCAGCCAUGCCGCGUGUAUGAAGAAGGCCUUCGGGUUGUAAAGUACUUUCAGCGGGGAGGCGUUACCCGCAGAAGAAGCACCGGCUAACUCCGUGCCAGCAGCCGCGGUAAUAC
rnacentral:rRNA from 1 species